rnacentral:lncRNA from 1 species
CCCUAACAAGUCCAACCCACCACCACUUCUGGGAAAGUGGAAUAAUUUUUUUCUUUUUCAUGUCUUUUUUCCUUUUGCCAUUAUUUCCUUUCCAUUUUUUUUACGCGUGGUGACACACGCUUCACGUUAUUCGGAUGGGCGUUGACUAGGUAUUAGUGGUGUGAUGAAGAUCAAUCGAUUUGGGCGAAACGUUGUCAUGGCAACCUUCCAUGAACUUAGGCUUCGUCAAGACUUUAUAAUGAACCGAAAACACAUUUACUAGUGGUACAUCUUGAGCAAGGUAAUGUUUCACUUUAUAUAAAUGACUCAUUUUCAUUAGAAGGCUCAUGUAUAUUCUCUUGUUGGCAGUUGAUUUGAUCGUCAAAAUACUAAAAGUCGUCUGUCCUUUUUUUGUUUUUUUAGUAACUGUGAUCUUCGUGUCUGCAUUCGAGUAUGCAGGUAUCUUAUAGGUAGAUAGGAACAUCGUAGUGACAAUAAAAUCGUUUAGAUUUUGAAACAACAACUAAAAACAAAGAUAUUUGUGUUCUCUGGACAUGAAAGAUUUACCUUUUAAUUGGCAGAAGGAAGGAAUCUAGUCACUUGUACUAACACUGCACAGAACCACAUGGGUGGACGACGCUGCCAGAAAAAUAGGUUUGCUAACUGAUGGGGAUGAGUUCAGCUAGCUUGACAUUUAAUAUUUUGGGCAUUACUCUCGAAGCUGUGUGAGUGGACUUCUAUAUUUGGAAACUUGUUAGCCAGACCUAUUAUCUUCAUGGACAUUGUGAUUUAGUUGAUGAUCACAUCAACUUUUGCAAAUUUCGUGGCCUUGUGAUGGUUAGAGGUGAAGUCGACAUCAAAGAAUACUUGUGGCUAUAAAAGACCCUGUUUAUAUCAUGGUCAGCCAUGGUGAUUUUUGGUGGUUAGCCGAUUACUAUAGCAGUCGACCUUGGUAGUUGUUAUGACCACGAUAUUAAUCAUGGUCAAUCAUGACAAUAUCAUGGUUAGUCUUUGCCUUGGAGAAUUUAAUUUGGUGAUUUUAGUGAUUUGAUUAAUAACAUAGUUUUCUUUAAGGAACUAUAUCGUUGUUGUGACUUGCUUAAUAUCAUUGUCGUACUUGAAAAGUAUUAUUGGUCAUUAAGUGACAUGGUAGAUAUCGUGUUCAAUCUUGACAAGUUUUGGCAGUUGCAGUGACUCAAUUAAUAUCGUGGACAACGAAGUUGAGUUUCGUAACUGUUGUGGCCUGAUUAAUAUGGUGUUCAUGCCACACAAGUUGGAGUUCAUAUUUUCCGAUGACCUACAUAUUUGGAAAGCUUUUCAUUCAUUCAGUUUUGUUAGAGACUUUGAGGUUGUUUUUCUUGACCUCAAAUAUAUUAUUACUACUUCCAUUAAAGAAAGAGGAUUUCAUUAGUAUGUGGAUGAAGUUCUUCUAUAUUGAGAAUAUUCGGAGCUACUUCGUUACUAGUGGAUAUUGACUCAUCGAUUGCACAUGUUUGGAUAAAUUUUUCUUAUCUUCCAAUUUUCUUAUUUGAAAAAUCGGCCCUAUUUUACCUUUCAAGCACUAUCGAUAUUCUCCUUAAGAUUGCUAAUGGUUAGAUGGUGAUGAUGGCCUAAAUAAGCAUGAAAAUAAAAGAAAAGAUUUGAGGAGACGGUGCAACCUUCUGGGGUAGUAGAAGGUGGUGGUUCUCGAAGGACAAAAAUGGAACUCCUGAAGAGACAGAAAACUCACACUUCAAAUCCUAACUAAAAUUCAGUUAAUAAAGCGAACAUUCGGCCUCAAUUUUGGAGGAAAUCUAAAGCCGUUUGGCAACAAAUUAAUUCAAAUUCAGAUUUUUGGGGAGCCAUUUAAAGAGCUAAUGUCCCGUGCAGAAUUUUGGAGCAUAAUUGAUGAAAAUAGUUGAAUAUUUUGGAUUAGCAAUUGGGUGAGAGACUGAAUAUUAAGUUGGGAUGUCCAUCUCACGAAAGAGAAAUAAAAAAAUCAACCAUUGUAAGUCGGGAUAUGACUAACUUAAUGGAUUGACUAUGCGCGUGUGCACACACACAUCGAGCGAGGAUCGAAUAAGUAAAAAUUAAUUUUGAUGGCAUGAUUCAGAAGCCUUUUAUGAUUGGUUAGCCCACUUUCAAAACAUGAAACCAAUGUGCUACCUAAUCAAUUGAUUUUUAUUGUUAUUUGUUUAUAUGUUUAAGUAGAUAAUUUUAUUCAAAACGAACAAGGAUUUAGUUUAAAGCGUUAACAAGUGUAUUCUACACUGUUGUCCGUUCUUAUAAACUUGAUGUAUAUUUACAAAUUGAGCGAAUUUUUACUUAAUUUCUUGUAAAUGUUGUUAUCAUAGGUAAAAUCAAGACUUCGGAGGUACGUGGAAGAUUUCGAGCUUAAUGGGAGGAAAUUCACAAUUUCUGGGAGUGAAAUUCAACUUAUGAAAAGUUUGGGGACUCAUUUGCACACUUCUAAAACUUGAAGAGGACGAAUCUUGGAUGUAUGGAGAGUAUGGGGACCAAGGUAAAAGCUUUCAGGAGUUGUCGGAGUAAUAUAGAAGAUUUGAACCCGAAAUUACCAAAAUCGUACAAGAAACUUGAUGUGGGGUCAAAAUGCAAAUGUUCCAUUGUUCGACGUCGCCACUGAAGAUUGGUAGUUUUUCACGAACAAGCCGCGCAGGCUGCAAGGUUGACCAAUGGCUUGUCC